rnacentral:rRNA from 1 species
GACGAACCGUGCGACCGUUGUUCGGAUUCACUGGGCUUAAAGGGCGCGUAGGCGGCCCGCCAAGUCAGGGGUGAAAGCCCCCAGCUUAACUGGGGAAGGGCCUCUGAUACUGGCGGGCUCGAGGGGGAUAGGGGCGGACGGAACUUCCGGUGGAGCGGUGAAAUGCGUUGAUAUCGGAAGGAACGCCGGUGGCGAAAGCGGUCCGCUGGGUCCCCUCUGACGCUGAGGCGCGAAAGCCAGGGGAGCAAACGGG